GGGGCUGGGGUGAUGAUGGUCGCCAUCCGAGCAUUUGGAAUGUGCGAGGAGCUGCCAGAGGAAUUGUUAAUAUUUCUGUUGCAGCUUCAACACAUAGAUGCUUCUGUCCUGGAUUGUGCCUUUAGAAGUGUGACACUUGUCGGUGCUGGACACAGCCUGCUUCAGAACAGGCAUUAUCGGCCUUCAGUCAAGAUGGUGGCGUUUAACUUGAAGGCUUUGGAGAAUUUCCCAUUGCUGAUGUACAUCUUGGCAGCUAAAACAUUGAUUCUUUGCUUAGCAUUUGCUGGAGUUAAAAUGUACCAGAGUAAAAAACUUGAAGAAAAAUUGAAGAGGGAACGUGAAGCGAAAUUGAAAAGAGAAGCAGAGAAGAAGGGUGAUUAAAGGAAUCUCUCAGGUUUCCAUUCCCGUUAUAUAUGACUGAGUAGAAAAGUUUCACCAGCUCUCAGCCUCCCAGGCGAAGGCAGGGAAGAGUGGAUGUAGCUUGGGAAGCCUUUCCAGCCCUUACCAGACCUCAGCAGGGAAAGGAUUUUUUUCCAUUUUUCUCCAGAAGUGUCACCAACUCUACAGUGAGAAUCAAAGCCCCAGAGGCCAAUUCAGUGAUUGGUGGAAAUUGAGCUAGUCUGUGUGCUCCUAGCUUCUAGCAUCUGAGGACACCUGGAAGUACAUUAUCAAGACAGUCAUGCCUGGGAAUGAGUCAGGAAUAGAAGAUUCAAUGUGCUAUUGAAGCACCUGACAAGUCCAGGCUAAUGAGUUCUCUGAAGAUCCCCCCAAAGCACCAGCUACUUCUGUGGAUAAAUAAAGAGAGUAAAUAAAGAGGGUGCAGGGUAAUACCCUGCUUGUUUCA